GACGAACGCUGGCGGCGUGCUUAACACAUGCAAGUCGAACGGAAAGGCCCUGCUUUUGUGGGGUGCUCGAGUGGCGAACGGGUGAGUAACACGUGAGUAACCUGCCCUUGACUUUGGGAUAACUUCAGGAAACUGGGGCUAAUACCGGAUAGGAGCUCCUGCUGCAUGGUGGGGGUUGGAAAGUUUCGGCGGUUGGGGAUGGACUCGCGGCUUAUCAGCUUGUUGGUGGGGUAGUGGCUUACCAAGGCUUUGACGGGUAGCCGGCCUGAGAGGGUGACCGGCCACAAUGGGACUGAGAUACGGCACAGACUGCUACGGGAGGCAGCAGUGGGGAAUAUUGCACAAUGGGCGGAAGCCUGAUGCAGCAACGCCGCGUGCGGGAUGACGGCCUUCGGGUUGUAAACCGCUUUCGCCUGUGACGAAGCGUGAGUGACGGUAAUGGGUAAAGAAGCACCGGCUAACUACGUG
rnacentral:rRNA from 1 species